rnacentral:lncRNA from 1 species
UUUUGGUUUCCCGGUUGAGGUUUUAUUCGGAGUUUGUUGUUCUUAUUUUAAUUAUAUCUGCUUUUAUUUUUGAGUUGUUAGAUAUUUGUUUGUUUGCUCUUCUAAUUCUUCUUUUACGUCAAUGUCAAUUGUGAUACAUAAGAAUAAUCAAGGUAUGCUCUUAAAAAGGAAGACAAUUGUGAUUCUCAAUAGAUUGGAUAAGAU